GGCGAACGGGUGAGUAACACGUGAGCAACCUGCCCCUGACUCUGGGAUAAGCGCUGGAAACGGCGUCUAAUACUGGAUAUGUACCACGAUCGCAUGGUCUGUGGUUGGAAAGAUUUUUCGGUUGGGGAUGGGCUCGCGGCCUAUCAGCUUGUUGGUGAGGUAAUGGCUCACCAAGGCGUCGACGGGUAGCCGGCCUGAGAGGGUGACCGGCCACACUGGGACUGAGACACGGCCCAGACUCCUACGGGAGGCAGCAGUGGGGAAUAUUGCACAAUGGGCGAAAGCCUGAUGCAGCAACGCCGCGUGAGGGAUGACGGCCUUCGGGUUGUAAACCUCUUUUAGCAGGGAAGAAGCGAAAGUGACGGUACCUGCAGAAAAAGCGCCGGCUAACUACGUGCCAGCAGCCGCGGUAAUACGUAGGGCGCAAGCGUUAUCCGGAAUUAUUGGGCGUAAAGAGCUCGUAGGCGGUUUGUCGCGUCUGCUGUGAAAUCCGGAGGCUCAACCUCCGGCCUGCAGUGGGUACGGGCAGACUAGAGUGCGGUAGGGGAGAUUGGAAUUCCUGGUGUAGCGGUGGAAUGCGCAGAUAUCAGGAGGAACACCGAUGGCGAAGGCAGAUCUCUGGGCCGUAACUGACGCUGAGGAGCGAAAGGGUGGGGAGCAAACAGGCUUAGAUACCCUGGUAGUCCACCCCGUAAACGUUGGGAACUAGUUGUGGGGUCCAUUCCACGGAUUCCGUGACGCAGCUAACGCAUUAAGUUCCCCGCCUGGGGAGUACGGCCGCAAGGCUAAAACUCAAAGGAAUUGACGGGGACCCGCACAAGCGGCGGAGCAUGCGGAUUAAUUCGAUGCAACGCGAAGAACCUUACCAAGGCUUGACAUAUACGAGAACGGGCCAGAAAUGGUCAACUCUUUGGACACUCGUAAACAGGUGGUGCAUGGUUGUCGUCAGCUCGUGUCGUGAGAUGUUGGGUUAAGUCCCGCAACGAGCGCAACCCUCGUUCUAUGUUGCCAGCACGUAAUGGUGGGAACUCAUGGGAUACUGCCGGGGUCAACUCGGAGGAAGGUGGGGAUGACGUCAAAUCAUCAUGCCCCUUAUGUCUUGGGCUUCACGCAUGCUACAAUGGCCGGUACAAAGGGCUGCAAUACCGCGAGGUGGAGCGAAUCCCAAAAAGCCGGUCCCAGUUCGGAUUGAGGUCUGCAACUCGACCUCAUGAAGUCGGAGUCGCUAGUAAUCGCAGAUCAGCAACGCUGCGGUGAAUACGUUCCCGGGUCUUGUACACACCGCCCGUCAAGUCAUGAAAGUCGGUAACACC
rnacentral:rRNA from 1 species